GGGUUGUGAGGUUAAGCGACUAAGCGUACACGGUGGAUGCCCUGGCAGUCAGAGGCGAUGAAGGGCGUGCUAAUCUGCGAUAAGCGCCGGUAAGGUGAUAUGAACCGUUAUAACCGGCGAUACCCGAAUGGGGAAACCCAGUGUGAUUCGUCACACUAUCAUUAACUGAAUCCAUAGGUUAAUGAGGCGAACCGGGGGAACUGAAACAUCUAAGUACCCCGAGGAAAAGAAAUCAACCGAGAUUCCCCCAGUAGCGGCGAGCGAACGGGGAGGAGCCCAGAGCCUGAAUCAGCAUGUGUGUUAGUGGAAGCGUCUGGAAAGGCGCGCGAUACAGGGUGACAGCCCCGUACACAAAAGCGCAUGUGCUGUGAGCUCGAUGAGUAGGGCGGGACACGUGGUAUCCUGUCUGAAUAUGGGGGGACCAUCCUCCAAGGCUAAAUACUCCUGACUGACCGAUAGUGAACCAGUACCGUGAGGGAAAGGCGAAAAGAACCCCGGCGAGGGGAGUGAAAAAGAACCUGAAACCGUGUACGUACAAGCAGUGGGAGCACAGGUUUACCUGUGUGACUGCGUACCUUUUGUAUAAUGGGUCAGCGACUUAUAUUCUGUAGCAAGGUUAACCGAAUAGGGGAGCCGGAGGGAAACCGAGUCUUAAUUGGGCGUUAAGUUGCAGGGUAUAGACCCGAAACCCGGUGAUCUAGCCAUGGGCAGGUUGAAGGUUGGGUAACACUAACUGGAGGACCGAACCGACUAAUGUUGAAAAAUUAGCGGAUGACCUGUGGCUGGGGGUGAAAGGCCAAUCAAACCGGGAGAUAGCUGGUUCUCCCCGAAAGCUAUUUAGGUAGCGCCUCGUGAAUUCAUCUCCGGGGGUAGAGCACUGUUUCGGCUAGGGGGCCAUCCCGGCUUACCAACCCGAUGCAAACUGCGAAUACCGGAGAAUGUUAUCACGGGAGACACACGGCGGGUGCUAACGUCCGUCGUGAAGAGGGAAACAACCCAGACCGCCAGCUAAGGUCCCAAAGUCAUGGUUAAGUGGGAAACGAUGUGGGAAGGCCCAGACAGCCAGGAUGUUGGCUUAGAAGCAGCCAUCAUUUAAAGAAAGCGUAAUAGCUCACUGGUCGAGUCGGCCUGCGCGGAAGAUGUAACGGGGCUAAACCAUGCACCGAAGCUGCGGCAGCGACGCUUAUGCGUUGUUGGGUAGGGGAGCGUUCUGUAAGCCUGUGAAGGUGGCCUGUGAGGGUUGCUGGAGGUAUCAGAAGUGCGAAUGCUGACAUAAGUAACGAUAAAGCGGGUGAAAAGCCCGCUCGCCGGAAGACCAAGGGUUCCUGUCCAACGUUAAUCGGGGCAGGGUGAGUCGACCCCUAAGGCGAGGCCGAAAGGCGUAGUCGAUGGGAAACGGGUUAAUAUUCCCGUACUUGGUGUUACUGCGAAGGGGGGACGGAGAAGGCUAUGUUGGCCGGGCGACGGUUGUCCCGGUUUAAGCGUGUAGGUGUGUGUUCCAGGUAAAUCCGGUUCACUUUAACACUGAGGCGUGAUGACGAGGCACUACGGUGCUGAAGUAACAAAUGCCCUGCUUCCAGGAAAAGCCUCUAAGCAUCAGGUAACAUCAAAUCGUACCCCAAACCGACACAGGUGGUCAGGUAGAGAAUACCAAGGCGCUUGAGAGAACUCGGGUGAAGGAACUAGGCAAAAUGGUGCCGUAACUUCGGGAGAAGGCACGCUGACACGUAGGUGAAGUGAUUUACUCAUGGAGCUGAAGUCAGUCGAAGAUACCAGCUGGCUGCAACUGUUUAUUAAAAACACAGCACUGUGCAAACACGAAAGUGGACGUAUACGGUGUGACGCCUGCCCGGUGCCGGAAGGUUAAUUGAUGGGGUCAGCGCAAGCGAAGCUCCUGAUCGAAGCCCCGGUAAACGGCGGCCGUAACUAUAACGGUCCUAAGGUAGCGAAAUUCCUUGUCGGGUAAGUUCCGACCUGCACGAAUGGCGUAAUGAUGGCCAGGCUGUCUCCACCCGAGACUCAGUGAAAUUGAACUCGCUGUGAAGAUGCAGUGUACCCGCGGCAAGACGGAAAGACCCCGUGAACCUUUACUAUAGCUUGACACUGAACAUUGAGCCUUGAUGUGUAGGAUAGGUGGGAGGCUUUGAAGUGUGGACGCCAGUCUGCAUGGAGCCGACCUUGAAAUACCACCCUUUAAUGUUUGAUGUUCUAACGUGGACCCGUUACCCGGGUUGCGGACAGUGUCUGGUGGGUAGUUUGACUGGGGCGGUCUCCUCCUAAAGAGUAACGGAGGAGCACGAAGGUUGGCUAAUCCUGGUCGGACAUCAGGAGGUUAGUGCAAUGGCAUAAGCCAGCUUGACUGCGAGCGUGACGGCGCGAGCAGGUGCGAAAGCAGGUCAUAGUGAUCCGGUGGUUCUGAAUGGAAGGGCCAUCGCUCAACGGAUAAAAGGUACUCCGGGGAUAACAGGCUGAUACCGCCCAAGAGUUCAUAUCGACGGCGGUGUUUGGCACCUCGAUGUCGGCUCAUCACAUCCUGGGGCUGAAGUAGGUCCCAAGGGUAUGGCUGUUCGCCAUUUAAAGUGGUACGCGAGCUGGGUUUAGAACGUCGUGAGACAGUUCGGUCCCUAUCUGCCGUGGGCGCUGGAGAACUGAGGGGGGCUGCUCCUAGUACGAGAGGACCGGAGUGGACGCAUCACUGGUGUUCGGGUUGUCAUGCCAAUGGCACUGCCCGGUAGCUAAAUGCGGAAGAGAUAAGUGCUGAAAGCAUCUAAGCACGAAACUUGCCCCGAGAUGAGUUCUCCCUGAGACUUAAAGUCUCCUGAAGGAACGUUGAAGACGACGACGUUGAUAGGCCGGGUGUGUAAGCGCAGCGAUGCGUUGAGCUAACCGGUACUAAUGAACCGUGAGGCUUAACCUUACAACGCCGAAG
rnacentral:rRNA from 1 species